UGGGAUUAGAUACCCCACUAUGCCUAAUCGUAAAAUAUUAACUUACAACCACAAGCGCCUGGGAACUACGGGCUAAGCCUAAAACCCAAAGGACUUGACGGUGUCCCACCCUACUAGAGGAGCCUGUUCUAUAAUCGAUAACCCACGCUAAACCUAACCUCUUCUAGCUCAGUCUGUAUAUCGCCGUCGCAAAUCUGCCUUGUGAAUGCCAAAUAGCAUGUUCAAUGUCCCCCCGCCAAAACGUCAGGUCAAGGUGCAGCAUAUGAAGAGGGAAGAAUGGGCUACAAUUUCUAACUUAGAACAAACGGAUUACUUUAUGAAAUUAAAUUAUGAAGGAGGAUUUAGUAGUAAAGAGAA
rnacentral:rRNA from 1 species